rnacentral:rRNA from 1 species
GACAGAGGUGCCAAGCGUUAGGCGGAAUCACUGGGCUUAAAGCGUGUGUAGGCGGGUGCCUAAGUACCUUGUGAAAUCCCACGGCUCAACCGUGGAACUGCUGGGUAUACUGGGUGCCUUGGGUCAUCUAGGGGCUGCCGGAACAAAUGGUGGAGCGGUGAAAUGCGUAGAUAUCAGGAGGAACACCAAUGGCGAAGGCAGCACUCUGGGACGUGACUGACGCUGAGACGCGAAAGCGUGGGGAGCAAACAGG